GCCAACUUAGCUCAGCCGGUAGAGCAUCUCACUCGUAACGAGAAGGUCGUGGGUUCGAUUCCCACAGUUGGCU
rnacentral:tRNA from 1 species